CCAAUAGCGUAUAUUAAAGUUGUUGCAGUUAAAAAGCUCGUAGUUGAAUUUCGGAAUCUGUCCAUUGGUCGGGCUUCACUGUCCGUACUGGUGUGGUGGGUUCUUACCUUCUGAAUAACCAGCAUGCCAUUUAUUUGGUGCGUUGGGGAAGCAGGACUAUUACCUUGAAAAAAUUAGAGUGCUCAAAGCAGGCUAGUGCCUGAAUGCAUUAGCAUGGAAUAAUAAAAUAGGACGGCAUGGUUCUAUUUUGUUGGUUUCUAGGAUCACCGUAAUGAUUAAUAGGGAUAGUUGGGGGCAUUAGUAUUCAAUUGUCAGAGGUGAAAUUCUUGGAUUUAUUGAAGACUAACUUCUGCGAAAGCAUUUGCCAAGGAUGUUUUCAUUAAUCAAGAACGAAAGUUAGGGGAUCGAAGACGAUCAGAUACCGUCGUAGUCUUAACCAUAAACUAUGCCGACUAGGGAUCGGACGAUGUUAAUUUUUUAAUGACUCGUUCGGCGCCUUACG
rnacentral:rRNA from 1 species